UUGAAGUUAAUGAAACUUGUGCCUAUUAUUUUAGCCAAUAGAAACAUGACAAAUGAGAGAUGUAUAUGGGGAUCACAUACAACAAUUGUAUACGUAGCCUUUGCCCACAAACUUCACGCGGGCGGUACAUUAAAAUGUUAGGGAAAAUUUAAAGUAUUUUAUUUCUAAAAUUUCACCUCGGUAAUGUAACCAUAACCAAAUUCAUAAAAAAAAAGGUCCUUCCUUUUGUCUUCUCGAUCCACCAGUGAAAAAAUCAUAUGAGCAAGUACAUUCUUAGGGUUUGUCAUCAUCAAGCAAGCACAAUCUCUUUGUUCAUCGUUAACAUCAAGAUUCCACGCAAAUUAUAACUAUCAACACAAAGAAGCUAGCUAUUUUGAUAUUAUAUACAAUCAAAGGUGUUAAGCUCCUCAGAUCAACUGGUGUUGUUGUUAUAUUUCUGGUUGCGUUGGUGAAAAUCUAUACUUAGCGAAUUGAGUUCUUGUUGGUGUGUGAAUUUGUAUCAUGGAUGUUGAAAAGAGAUGGGUUCGUAUGCCAAGAAAUUGUCCAGAAUAUAAGGAAGGAGUAGACCAGUUCAUAAAUUCUGCAUUUAAUGCCUCAGCUUUAAAUGGUAGGAUUAAAUGUCCAUGUAGGAGAUGUUCAGUUACUGUGUAUCUUGAUCCUAAAGAUGUUUGUGAGCAUUUAUUUUGUAAGGGUUUUGAUAGAAACUAUGCUAAUAGUGUAUGGGUUUUUCACGGGGAAGAACCUUCACCAUCAGGCUUAGAUGAUGAAUCUCAUAGUGAUGAGGAGUCAAAUCUUAGUAUUGAUGAUAUGCAUGGAUUACUUCAUGAUGCUUUUGGGUUUCCUAAUUUUUAUGAUAGCAUAGGUGAAUAUCCUGAACCUGGUGAGGGGGGCUGAAUUUAGAAGCUGAAAAGUUUCAAAAGCUUAUGGAAGAUGCUAAAACUGAAUUAUAUCCUGAAUGUGAUAAAUUUACUACUUUGUCAUUUAUUCUUCGACUUUAUCACAUGAAAUGUUUGCAUCGUUGGAGUGAUACAUGCUUGAAUGGGUAUGCUACAAUUCUUUAAUGAGCUUCUUCCUAAAGGUUCAAACUUUCCAAAGAAUCUUUGCCAAAUGAAAAAAGUCCUAGCAGACUUAGGUUUGGGAUACACUAAAAUUGAUGUAGGUCCAAAUGAUUGUAUGUUGUGUUUGAAAGAAAAGGUUAAUGAUGAAAUUUGUACUAUGUGUAAUGUUUCGAGAUGGAAAGAUCCUUCAAUUGGAAAGAAAAGUAGUCCAGCAAAGGUGCUACGUCAUUUCUCCCUCAUACCCCGCUUAAAGCGUCUUUUUAUGUCAUCUAAAACAUCCAAUUUAAUGAGAUGGCAUAAAAAGGGAAGUAGUCAGGAUGGGAAACAAAGGAAUCUGGUUGAUUCUUUAGCUUGGAAGAGUUUUGAUGAGAAAUAUCCUGAUUUUGCUCAAGAUGUUAGAAAUGUUAGACUUGGUUUGGCUAGUGAUGGUUUUAAUCCAUUUAGUAAUAUGAGCACUAAUCAUAGUACUUGGACUGUUAUAAUUAUGGUGUAUAAUUUGCCUCCGUGGCUUUGCAUGAAAUAUUCAUACUUUAUUAUGUCACU